ensembl:lncRNA
GCAGCACCAGAGCCGGUCCUCUGCACCGAAACAGGUGACUUCAAUGCCUACCUUUGUGAAGAAGGGUGAGCUCCCGGCUCUAAGGACGUGCUAAGAGCUGGAAGYGGCGGUGGGAAACUUCUGCAUUUCUUACUGGCUGUCCUUGGCAUCUCAGYGUGGUGGAUGCGGUGAACCACAAGUUGAGGAUCAUAUCUUUCCCUGUUCUGCCUGGCAUACUGCAGAAGCAUUGCUGUAUUCUUCCUGACAGGAAUACAGGUUACAGAUGCAGUUGCUGGACCCCAAUACAAAAGAAGUUCAACAAAGCUGAAGAGAUGAACUGUGUUUUGGCUUAGUUGCAAGCCCUCGCGCCAGAGUUUUGGUAGUUCAGGAGUGUCCAGCCUUGGGGUCUGGAGCUGCUGGUUCAAGUGUGCCCCCACAGCCAGCCCCUGCCACGCUCCCGGCGCAGGAAGCUGCAGCCCAGAGACAUGAGUCCUUGGGAGCGACGGGGCCAGUGCUGCCAGGCCAGCCCUUCCUCGAGCUGCGUUUCAGACCUAGCUUCAUGGUGAUUCUUGCGGAAUAUCUGUAAUUAGUCCUUGAAUUAGUGUAGCCCUGGAUUGCCCCUAACCUAGAAGACUGCACAUCCUAAUCACUCUUCCUACGCUAUGUAAGAGCUUGAAGUGGCAACAUUUAUGCUCUCAAUCUUGACUUCUUAUAUUUACAAAUCAAAAUACAGAAUUAUACAUGGAAAGAAAGGUUUGUAUAAUCACUGAUCAUGUUCCCCAUGUGAAGGUAUGUUAAAACUUCUGCUAUGAACUCUUAUUUUCAGUGUUUAUAACCUGGCUAUAAAAGCAUUUCCUACAGAGCUCAGUUUUUUGAAAGAGAAACAAAUUUACUCAGCUGUUAGGUAGCAAUGGAGUUUCUGAAGGAGAUAUUCUGUAGUUGCACCAGACUUGAUGUUUCAAAGGUGAAAGCAUGAUUCAUGUUUUCAAACAUGUAAAGAAUUUAUAAAAUCCCAUUCUCUAAUUAAAAACACUGAAUGCUGCAAGUUGGUUGCUUUCAUUAAGUUUUUCUUAUUAGAUACCGAUGUUUCAUUUCUUG